AAGUUGCCGCGACCAAUGACAGGUGGCGGCAGGAAUCCGUGCGAUUUCCCAAAGCUUCGACGGUCACCGAUGGUCAUCAACUCGUCACUCGAGUUGCCGGUACUUGUACGAGGCUCGAAAAUGGCAGACACGAGCCAACAAGGAUUAACCGAGCCACACACGAACGGAGUGGUGGACGGUUUGACGGAAGAGGAAAAAAGCAAGAUGAGACCCGCCGAUAUCGAUGCGGAUAUGAGAGAAAUGGAGAGGAGAAAGAGGGUCGAGAUGAUGAUGAACUCACGAAUCUUCCGGGAAGAGCUGGAACGUAUAAUUGAGACACAGAUGAGGGACGGUGCUGGACCCUCUGGUCUUCUGCAACAGAUCUCUGAUAUGAUGGGUGCACAGGGAGCCCGAUUCAACGGCAAUGUGUUCAAAAAUUCGAAUUGCGUCUUACCUAUCAACGACAUACGCGGCGUGGAAAGUAUGGGAUACGCCAAGGGUGAAAAGUUGUUGCGGUGCAAGUUAGCGGCGGUCUUCAGAUUGCUCGAUCUUUAUGGAUGGACGCAGGGCGUCGGCGGGCAAAUCACCGCCCGUCUCAAUCAGGAUCAGGAACACUUUUUAGUGAAUCCUUACGGGCUACUCUAUCACGAGGUCACCGCCUCAAGUUUGAUCAAGGUGGACAUGCAGGGCACAAUUGUCGAACAGGGGACGACGAACUUUGGCGUGCACGUCACCAGUUUCCAAUUACACUCGACAAUACACGCUGCGAGACCCGAUAUCAAGUGUAUUAUUCAUAUUACUACUCCGUCCGUUACCGCUGUUUCCUCCUUGAAGUGUGGAUUGUUACCAAUCGGUCAGGAGAGCAUAGUAAUAGGCGAAGUGAGCACCCAUCAGUACAUAGGAGGUUCAGUCGAGCCAGAGGAACGGGAGAAGAUCGCUAGAAACCUUGGACCGAUCAAUAAGGUUAUGCUUCUGACGAAUCGCGGUGCCCUUUGCUGUGGAGAAACAGUGGAAGAGGCAUUCUUUAAUGUUUACAAUACCGUAGUCGCUUGUGAGACGCAGCUGAAACUAAUGCCCGCGGGCGUAGACAAUCUAAGCCUUAUCAGCGAGGAAUCGAAGAAAGCUAUAUUCGAAGCGUCGCGAAAGCCACCGAUUCCUCAACAACAGAGCUCAGCGGUAGAGUCGUCCGCUCUCGCCGAGAAACUCGAGAAACGCUGGAGAAUCGGCGGCGCUGAAUUCGAGGCCCUUAUGAGAAUGCUCGACAAUGCUGGUUUCCGUACGGGUUACAUAUAUAGAAAUCCACUUGUAAAGGGAGAACUCCCAAAACCACGAAACGAUGUUGAAGUUCCACCGGCCGUAUCGUCCUUAGGAUAUCUACUUGAAGAGGAAGAAUUGUAUAAACAGGGACUGUGGAAGGGCGGACGUAAAGGCACAGACAGAUCCCGUUGGUUAAAUUCGCCGAACGUAUAUCAGAAGGUUGAGAUCUUGGAAACUGGAACACCCGAUCCUAAAAAAAUCACCAAGUGGGUGUCUGAUGGAUCUCCUACUCAUCAUAGCAGCAGCACACCAGUCAAGAUAGAAGGUGCUCUUCAGUUUGUUCCGAAAAAUACCAAUCCAAAGGAGUUCAAACAAAUACAACAACAGAUUAAAGAUUACCGACGAGCAGAGAAAAUAUCGGCUGGUCCGCAAUCCCAUAUAUUGGAAGGUGUAUCAUGGGAGGAAGCUAAGAAAAUGCAGGACGCGACAAUUAGUGGUACCGGAGAACAAGUAGUUUUAGUAGGAGCCGCUAGCAAGGGUAUUAUACAGCGUGGUUUCCAACACAAUGCGAUGGUGUACAAGACACCUUAUGCCAAAAAUCCUUUCGACGCCGUCACGGAUCAAGAGUUGGAUCAGUACAAGAGAGAAGUCGAACGCAAACAGAAAGGAGAUCCUUACGAUGAAUCACAAUCAGAAUCCGAGGCCUUGUCGUCCUUUAACAUCAGUCGUGCGACGCAUGAAUCCAGCACUGCCAAGAGUCCUAUUCAGUCACCGGUUUCUGUUACUUCUGAAACAGAAGAAGAGAGUAGAGACGAACCCCGAGUAUUGCGAAUAGAAACGAAACAAGUGCCUGCGCCGAGUCAACCCGAAGUUGUGUUAAGCGACGUGGAUGAUGCUACUACACAGUACCUUAAUGAGAUGCGCUACAAAAUGACUGAGCGACAAAGCAGUUAUAAAGGAGGAGAGAACACCGUAAACGGCGAUCACUCGGACGCUCAUCACAGUACUUUUUCGCAUAGUAGCAAGGAGGGUUCCAUGUCACAGGAUGUGAGCGUUAGCGAGGAAUCGCCAAAGAAGGAAAAGAAGAAGAAGAAGGGCCUUAGGACGCCAUCCUUCCUUAAAAAGAAGAAGGAAAAGAAGAAGUCGGUCGAGGCGUAGGUAGUUGUAGCUCAGACCUUUCCUCUCUUAUAAUAUCGACUGUAAUUUUGGAGAGUACCGCUGUUCUCCGAUGAAUAAUGAAAAAUUUCAGCAACUCGCUCGCUCGCUCAAUCGAUCGUCCCAGUCGACGUGGUUAAUUCGUUGAUCCCGGGCAUUGCUCAUUGAAGACACUGCCACAAGCAAAAGCUUUUCGUAAAAAAUAAAACGAAUAUGCAAAUUUAAACUCAAGAUCGAAACGAGCUCGGUUUAAAAUAAAGAACGAGAUUCGACGAGUAACGAAGCACGGACGAAUGGCGGAGGAUGAAACGGUGGUAGAUGGAGGUGCGCGAGGAAAAAAGAUCGAAGCGAACGAGCAACAAUCACAACAUCUUUCCAGGACUUAAGACUGCCAUCGCAUUACAUCUACGAUAAGGAAACUAUAUUGUACUGUUAAUAUUUUUACGUUUUUAAUUUGUUAAGCGUCGCGCUAAUGUAUUUAAUCCGCUAUUUAAUUUUGCCUCUCCUAUCCCGUUUGUGUGUAACGCAAUAAAGAGUUACGUAUACAUACUUUGCGACGAAGAGAGACAGACAGAUAGAGAAAGAGAGAGCAAGACGUCACUAUAUUGUCGUCUUUGUUAUUUUAUUCAUCAACGUUGACGUCGUUGCCGUUGUCAUUGUCGUCGUCAUCGUAAUUCUUGUCUUUUAUCUGCUCGUCAUUGUCAUCGAUAUUGACACCAACGUCGUCGCUGCCGCCGUCGUCGUCUUCGUUAUCACUAUCAUUAUCAUCAUCAUCGUUAUCGUUAUCGUUAUCGUUAUCAUCAUUAUUAUUGCCACCAUCGCAAUUAUCAUAGUCAUCUUCGUCGUCGUUGUCGACGUUGUUGCUAUUAUGGUCACCGUUGCUAUUUGCUUCUACUCUAUUUUUCCUCUAUCUCGAAAUUGUCUCAAUUACUUGAUUGUAACUUGAUAAUUUUUAGAAUAAGAAUAAAUUUUGUAUGGCCUCUUAAAACGGAGGGAUAAAGCAACAGUUUGUGAUGUGUAAACUUCAAAGAUAUGUAGAUCGAAUACAAAACUUUUAUUUUAUUUUACUUAUUUUAAAUAAUUCGCGAAUGUUACUGAGCGACAUUGCAAAUUCUUUAUCGUGAAGAAAAAAAGAAGUAGAAGUGAAUGCGAAAGGCUGUGUUCUAGAAUUUGAAGUUGCGAGAGAAAUGCGUUGCGGAUCUCACGACUAUUCUCUGUAUCAAAAGCAUCCUCGGACAAUAGAAAUCGCCUCUGACUCCCGGACUGAUGUACUCGUCUUCGUGAUAUGUAUAAAGUAAUUUGUGCCGUACGAUAUCCUGUCGAUUGCGAUUGUUACCGAGUUGAUAAUUUUAUUACAACUGUCUAUCGAUUGGCGCUUAUAUCGACAUAAUACUUUAUAAAUUAACUCAAUAAAAAAUUAGCAUAAUGCUAACAGUAAUGCCUCACGGCGACAUUCAUCAACUUGUAUUGUUACCAAAUUCGAACAGUCGAUAAGCUUAAACAUGUUUAUCAAAAAAGUAAAAUAAGGUAGAAUCAGAGUGGAACUGAAGUGUAAUCGAAGUACGGCGGCGUGUGCUUUUACAGAAUUUUCAAUUUUAUCUAUAUUCGACCUAACGAAAUAGUUUAAACAUCUCAAAUCAAGUUUAUUAUGACGAAUAUUCAUUGUACAUAUAGAAACGGAACCAUGUAAUAAUUUUUGCUUUUUUUUUCCUUUUGUAACGGAUUACUCAUUGAUGUGUAGAAACGUGCCUUUCGUACCUUUGUCAAUCGAUUAGUCUUCGACACUCGUUUAAAUCUAUAUUUGCUGAUUUAUCACACAAUUGAAUGAAUCGUUCGAUUUUGCCUUUGGUCGUCGCGUGUCAUUUGCAGUUGAAUAACAGCUUUUUGCAGUAACUUCAACAAGUCGAACUUGGUUGGUUGGAUUGAGUAAGUAAGAAUAUCUCCCAGAGUCGUGUCGUCAUACGUUUUAAUUAAGUAAGAAAUUACUUAAGGAGCGAUCUCAAAGUCGCGAAUGCGGAACGUUUCCGCAAUUGCAAUUCUUUCGCGAUUUUCUUUGGCUUGUUGAAGCUGUCGAGGAGUGUUGUUCAAAUUGACAAUUCGAGCACUAAUGAUUACAUUCUUUAUUCGUAAAUUGACGAUCGACCGCUUAUGCAACGUAUGUUUUGUACAAAUAAAGUCGGCGUUAUAUAUAGAUAUAACAUAUGAUAUAUAUAACAUAUGUAUAACUGUACGUAUAUCUGCGUGGAACACGAGCUGUGUUGUACGUAGAAUCGAGUAUAUGUAAACGAGGAUAUAUAGUGCUGUUUUAACAAUUUGAGCAUUAUAAAUCAUUUAUGCUCGAAGUGGCUGGAAGGACUCUAGACGAGUAAAUAAUAAUGAAAACGAAAUAAAGCGCACAUGCACAUUGGCUUGCAA